AGCCCCGGAACCAACUGAAGUUCGUGUUUCUCUCGGUCGAACAUGCGUGAUGCACCGUAGGUACCUGCGUGUUUACAUCAUAUAAUCUUAUUUGUUGUACUUCUCUCUACUUCAUUAAGUGAAUGGACUGAUAUCAGCCAGCCACGAUGCUAAAAGAUCUUCCUCGAGAAGCUCUGCUCCGGCCAUUGACCAGGACUGAGGUGGUGAGCAUGCUGUUGAGGCUGACGAUCUUUGGAGCAGCCACCUACUACAGCAUCAAAUGGAUUGUGGAAGCAAUGGACCCCACUGCUAAACAGAAAAGCCAAGCCAAAAAAAGGGCAGAACAGCUUAUGAAGAGGAUUGGUGUUGAGGGCGUCAAACUCACUGAGUAUGAGAUGAACAUCGCAUCACAACUAGUGGAUCCACAAACAAUGAAGGUGUCCUGGAGAGAUAUUGCAGGUCUUGAUGAGAUAAUCAAUGAGCUACAAGACACAGUCAUUCUGCCCUUUCAGAAAAGACACCUUUUGGCUGGAUCCAAACUCUUUCAGCCACCAAAAGGUGUUUUGUUGUUUGGUCCUCCAGGCUGUGGCAAAACCAUGAUUGCUAAGGCAACAGCCAAAGCUUCUGGCUGCAAGUUUAUCAACCUGCAGGCAUCGACGCUGACCGAUAUGUGGUAUGGCGAAUCGCAAAAGCUCACAGCUGCUGUCUUUUCAUUGGCGGUCAAACUACAACCAUGUAUCAUUUUUAUUGAUGAAAUUGAAUCAUUUCUCAGGAACCGCUCCAGCCUUGAUCACGAAGCUACUGCCAUGAUGAAGGCCCAGUUCAUGAGCUUGUGGGAUGGCAUGGAAACUUCCUCAGCCACCCAGGUGAUGGUCAUGGGGGCAACAAACCGACCACAAGAUGUAGAUCCUGCUAUCCUACGCAGAAUGCCCACCACGUUUCACAUUGGCCUUCCUGACUCAAAACAAAGACAUGACAUCCUGCGGCUGAUAUUAGCGGAAGAAAAUCUGAGCGCCACUAUUAAUCUGAAAGAGAUCGCUGAGAAGACAGACGGAUACUCGGGCAGCGACUUGCGGGAACUUUGCCGCGACACCGCCAUGUACAGAGUUCGAGACUACGUCCGCAAGGAACAGAUGAGGCAGAUCGCCCAGCAGUUAGGAGAGGUCCAGGAAGACGAAACACCCGUGGAUGAGGAUAGAUUGCGACCAAUCACCCAGCUCGACCUCCUCUUUGGCCUGGACAAGAUGAGGGAGUCCAAACGGGGCACGGCGACCAUGUUACUGACUGUUCCCGAGGUUCCGCUGGACUAAAUGUCUUUUAAGCUCCCCCCCCCCCCCCCCCCCCCCCCCCCCCCCCCCCCCAUCUCAGUGAUGCCCAUCAGAAAAAGCAGUCGAGGGAAGAACAAGGGGACUGCUCCUAUCUCCAAUCUCGCCAGACUUUGUGGACACUCUGUAUUGGAACAUCAUAAGCAGCAAGGAUUGUGUGAUUUUGUUUGCCCUGAUGGGUUCUUAUUGUACUUUUGGAGUUAAGAACAAGUUGUUAAAGUCUGAAUCACUGCAUUGCUCGUCUCGUUCAACAAAAAUCGCACACGGUGCCUCUUAUCAGACUUGCUGACAGAGUAAAUAUCUCCAAAUUACCGCCUGAGGCGCGAAUAGCUGUCUGGCUAAAUGGUCAGAGGUCGUGAAUUAUUAAUUACCUGCGGAUUAAAAAAAUUACCUUCCAGGAAGCAAAAGCUUUUCACAUGACGGCAACAGCAAUUUGAGGGUGAUAAUGGCUCCUCAUCUCUUCUCUCGAUCUCUUGAGCAUAAAUUUGUCUCAUCAAAAUCAGUUUUGUCACGAACAACGGGCAAUUGGGGUUGAUUGCCUUUAAAGCUCUUGCGAAUAAUCACGUUCCUGUUUUCAUGGAUUCACGCAAGUGUGACUUUGUUGAUUCAAAUCAAAUUUAAAAUGUUAAAAUGGAUUCCCACCGUCCCCAGUGUGAGAAUUACAGGCAGUUCCUGCUAAAGGGGGUUUGCCACGUUACAUAGGUGUCACUUUUGCUGCCCAGACCAAUGUCUUCUUUGAUUGACAGCUGGUUCCUAGUGUUCGAGCACACUAACUUAAGAGUGGCUUGGUGGCUUGGCUCUCACAAUCACCUUGUGACCAUGAACGAUGUUGUACACUCGCGCAACCUGAAAGCUGUCUCACGAAGCGUCCCUUUACAAAGACUACAAUGCUCCCGUCUUUAUUGACACCCGUCAUACAGCCAUUCAUUGAAUUCACCGGCAUUUUCAAAUGUAAGAAACAUUGGGUGUAAUAAAUACAUAACCAGCAAGUGAUUUGCAUCAUCAACCAGCUAUCUUCUCUCUCCCAUAUGCAAAGGAAUGUCUCAUCGGACCUAAAUUCAUUUGGUUGAUUACCUCUCUAAUGGAGCGCUCCAAUUCCCAUUGGUCAUAGUGUAUCACCAUAAUGAUAAUCACAAGUAACCAAGGAUCUAUUAAAUCUUUCCGGGUGUGUUUCCACGAUGAACAUUUCAACUGUCUGUCUAUUUGAGUACCUACAGCUAAUUCGCGCUCCGCAAAGACAUAAUGCGGUUAAUCAUGUUGACGGGCCAAGUACGUUCACAUCCCCCCCAGGCUGGAUGUGUUGGAAUGUGUAAGCCUGUUGCAUGGACAAAUGGGAGCAUGACAUUUACACUUCUGCAUUAAAUGAGGCAAAGUGCAAUGUUUAUUUCUCCGCAGACGUUCUGAAACCUUGUGCUUCUGAUCUUAAAUGCUCAACCAGCGUUACUUUUUCAUAAAGUGGCAUGGAGCUAUUUAUAUGGGGGGAAGUGACAAGUUUCCAUUCCUCCACUCUUCUUUGAGAGGAUCGCACCCAGUCGCUGAUGGAAGAAUCUUUCCUCGAUCACAGCUGGCUUGAGAUGCCAUGACUGCGCUGGAGUGGAAAGCUCAGAUUCUGAUGGAGCCACUUAGGUCUGACCAUAGCGUAUCUGGACAGCAGCACUCAGCCCUUGUCGUACUGUCUCAACCUUUUCUUCCCCAUCAGAUAUGAGGAAAAAUAGAGCAUAUCAUGCCUCCUUGUCUACUUGAUGACUGACGAUGCUCUCAAAGCUUUGGUGGUUUGAUACAUUUUCGAGCAACCUUGGCGAAAUCGGCAAGCGGCGAGUCUGGCGGCCGCCUCACUAAUGAUGGACUUUUUCUGGGUCCCUUGCAAAGUCAAAUGAACUAAAUACAGUCUAUGAAGGGCUGGGAAGCUUCACACUGGCAAAUAAGAUUCAGUGAGAACAGUUGUAAGCUGUUGGGUAGGAGGACAGUGGAUGAUUUGUUCACUUGUUCAAAUAUUCAGCAUUUUUCUGUGAUUAAAAAAAAAAACAACUCAUGUGCAAUCAUGUAUCUGGUUCUGUACAGCCACAGAAGCGCUUGGACGAAAAAAUAGGACACUGAAAGCUGACAUUAAAAUAAAAAAAGCCUACUCUUUUGAGGGCACAAUCUGAAUUAAUGAGACAUUUUAAGUCAAUCGUUGUCAGGCUGUGCUCAACGCACCCUGUGGACACUUCAAUGUCAGAGCAAAAGCACAUUAUUGUACACAAUCAUUUGUCACUGGUGUAGUACCCUCCAAGGUUACGCUUUUGUAAACCGGACACUUAACUCACUCUGACGGUGUCAAUUAAAAGCGACUUUUUGAUAGAGCAUUAUUUAAAGAGGGACUUGUGUGUCAUGGAAUUUAUUUUAUUAACAUGAAUACAUCCUGGUUUGUCUCGAUAACUCAUUGUGUGUGGGUGCUGCAUGCCACCCUCAUUUUGAAAUCCAGCAGCCUGUCCAGGUCCAGGAGAUUUUUCAGCUGUAAUGUCCGUGUCCUUGCACGGCAGUGAAGCUUUGCCCGACGUUAGCCCUCCUCAAUAAUCUCAGUGCAAUCUUGAAGGUAAACUUUCAGCAUGUUUGGCUUUGCUUGUUGACCUUUUUAGAAGUGUAAUUUCUGGGUUGAAAAUGUCAUGUGACCAUCUUCGUCCUGCAAACUUUAAGAAAUGAAAAACGCCCCUUGAAUUCAUUGACAAAAAAUUUAGGCUACUGUAUUCAUGGAAUAAUUAAAAGGUGUGAUUCUUCUUUUUCUUUGGAAUAUAAUGCAAAUUAAAAUUGCACAAAUACUUGCUGUAUAACUGUCCUCACACUCUGUCAGUGAGGAACUGAGAGGUCCGUCGGUACCUGACCCGCUUAGUCAUACAUUGACGGAUGAAAACCCAGUUCUGUCAGUGCUUUGUCAUUU